AUUGAACGCUGGCGGAAUGCUUUACACAUGCAAGUCGAACGGCAGCACGGGGCAACCUGGUGGCGAGUGGCGAACGGGUGAGUAAUACAUCGGAACGUGCCCAAUCGUGGGGGAUAACGUAGCGAAAGUUACGCUAAUACCGCAUACGAUCUACGGAUGAAAGCGGGGGAUCGCAAGACCUCGCGCGAGUGGAGCGGCCGAUGUCAGAUUAGGUAGUUGGUGGGGUAAAGGCUCACCAAGCCAACGAUCUGUAGCUGGUCUGAGAGGACGACCAGCCACACUGGAACUGAGACACGGUCCAGACUCCUACGGGAGGCAGCAGUGGGGAAUUUUGGACAAUGGGCGCAAGCCUGAUCCAGCCAUUCCGCGUGCAGGAUGAAGGCCUUCGGGUUGUAAACUGCUUUUGUACGGAACGAAAAGCUCUCUCUAAUACAGGGGGUGAAUGACGGUACCGUAAGAAUAAGCACCGGCUAACUACGUGCCAGCAGCCGCGGUAACU
rnacentral:rRNA from 1 species